rnacentral:rRNA from 1 species
UACGUAGGGUGCAAGCGUUGUCCGGAAUUAUUGGGCGUAAAGGGUGCGUAGGCGGUUUGGUAAGUCUGAUGUGAAAUCUAUGGGCUCAACUCAUAGUCUGCAUCGGAAACUGCCGGGCUUGAGUGUGGGAGAGGUGAGUGGAAUUCCUGGUGUAGCGGUGAAAUUCGUAGAUAUCGGGAGGAACACCAGUGGCGAAGGCGGCGACCUGGACGGACACUGACGCUGAGA